rnacentral:rRNA from 1 species
AGCGAACGCUGGCGGCAGGCCUAACACAUGCAAGUCGAACGAACCUUUCGGGGUUAGUGGCGUACGGGUGAGUAACACGUGGGAACGUGCCUUUAGGUUCGGAAUAACUCAGGGAAACUUGUGCUAAUACCGAAUGUGCCCUUCGGGGGAAAGAUUUAUCGCCUUUAGAGCGGCCCGCGUCUGAUUAGCUAGUUGGUUGAGGUAAUGGCUCACCAAGGCGACGAUCAGUAGCUGGUCUGAGAGGAUGAUCAGCCACAUUGGGACUGAGACACGGCCCAGACUCCUACGGGAGGCAGCAGUGGGGAAUCUUGCGCAAUGGGCGAAAGCCUGACGCAGCCAUGCCGCGUGAAUGAUGAAGGUAUUAGGAUUGUAAAAUUCUUUCACCGGGGAAGAUAAUGACGGUACCCGGAGAAGAAGCCACGGCUAACUUCGUG